CGUCAAAUCAGCACGGCCCUUAUGUCCAGGGCUACACACGUGUUACGAAUGGUCGGUACAGAGGGCAGCUACCUGGUGACAGGAUGCUAAUCUCGAAAACCGGUCUCAGUUCGGAUCGAAGUCUGCAACUCGACUUCGUGAAGCUGGAUUCGCUAGUAAUCGCGCAUCAGCUAUGGCGCGGUGAAUACGUUCCCGGGCCUU
rnacentral:rRNA from 1 species